CAGGACGAACGCUGGCGGCGUGCUUAACACAUGCAAGUCGAACGGAGAUACAUUGGAGUAGAGCUUCGGCAGGAAUCCGGCGUAUCUUAGUGGCGGACGGGUGAGUAACGCGUGAGCAACCUGUCCCAGACAGGGGGAUAACACUUGGAAACAGGUGCUAAUACCGCAUAAGACCACGGUGUCACAUGGCACUGAGGUAAAAGGAGCAAUCCGGUUUGGGGUGGGCUCGCGUCCGAUUAGAUAGUUGGUGAGGUAACGGCCCACCAAGUCGACGAUCGGUAGCCGACCUGAGAGGGUGAUCGGCCACAUUGGAACUGAGAGACGGUCCAAACUCCUACGGGAGGCAGCAGUGGGGAAUAUUGGGCAAUGGGCGAAAGCCCUGACCCAGCAACGCCGCGUGAGUGAAGAAGGCUUUCGGGUUGUAAAGCUCUGUUAUAGGGGACGAAGGAAGUGACGGUACCCUAUAAGGAAGCCCCGGCUAACUACGUGCCAGCCGCAGC
rnacentral:rRNA from 1 species